AAUUUCACACCUGGAUGUGCUCACUCAACCAAGAAUAUAGAGAAAGAGCUUCUGUCCUGAGACUCAGAAAAAUAUUCUCCUCUGCUUCGGUUCAGAAUAGAUUUCUAGACCCUGAUCAUUGCUUAAGAAGUAUUCACUGGGG
ensembl:misc_RNA